AUUGAACGCUGGCGGCAUGCCUUACACAUGCAAGUCGAACGGUAACAGGUCUUCGGAUGCCGACGAGUGGCGAACGGGUGAGUAAUACAUCGGAACGUGCCUAGUAGUGGGGGAUAACUACUCGAAAGAGUGGCUAAUACCGCAUGAGAUCUACGGAUGAAGGCAGGGGAUCGCAAGACCUUGUGCUACUAGAGCGGCCGAUGGCAGAUUAGGUAGUUGGUGGGAUAAAAGCUUACCAAGCCGACGAUCUGUAGCUGGUCUGAGAGGACGAUCAGCCACACUGGGACUGAGACACGGCCCAGACUCCUACGGGAGGCAGCAGUGGGGAAUUUUGGACAAUGGGCGAAAGCCUGAUCCAGCAAUGCCGCGUGCAGGAUGAAGGCCUUCGGGUUGUAAACUGCUUUUGUACGGAACGAAAAGCCCCGGGUUAAUACCCUGGGGUCAUGACGGUACCGUAAGAAUAAGCACCGGCUAACUACGUGCCAGCCGCCGCGGUAA
rnacentral:rRNA from 1 species